GACGAACGCUGGCGGCGUGCCUAAUACAUGCAAGUCGAACGCAGUUGGGACGGGUGAGUAACACGUGGGUAACCUCCCAUCAGAGGGGAUAACACUUGGAAACAGGUGCUAAACCGAUACUGAUGGAUGGACCCGCGGUUCAUUAGCUAGUUGGUGAGGUAACGGAUCACCAAGGCCACGAUGCAUAGCCGGCCUGAGAGUGGGGUCGGCAACACUGGGACUGAGACACGGCCCAGACUCCUACGGAAGGCAGCAGUAGGGAAUGUGCGGCAAUGGACGAAAGUCGGACCGAGCAACGCCGCGAGAGUGAAGAAGGUUUUCGGAUCGUAAGACUCUGUUGUUAGUGAAGCGGUAUCUAACGAGAAAGCCACGGCUAACUACGUGCCAGCAGCCGCGGUAAUAC
rnacentral:rRNA from 1 species